rnacentral:rRNA from 1 species
UCAAACCAAAAGCUGGCGACCGGCGCACGGGUGAGUAACACGUAUCCAACCUGCCCCAUACUCGGGGAUAGCCUUUCGAAAGAAAGAUUAAUAUCCGAUAGCAUAUAUUUCCCGCAUGGGUUUUAUAUUAAAGAAAUUCGGUAUGAGAUGGGGAUGCGUUCCAUUAGUUUGUUGGGGGGGUAACGGCCCACCAAGACUACGAUGGAUAGGGGUUCUGAGAGGAAGGUCCCCCACAUUGGAACUGAGACACGGUCCAA